UAACUAUUCGUCUUUUCUUCAGAAGGCAUAGGUAUCUGAGUUUUGGUCUUCCGGCAGGCGUUACUGUAGGCCCGCCCUGGGCCCGCCUGCCGAAGCAACUGCCGAGAGUUCACAAGGGUUUGGAGCUUUGCAACUCGGUAAUGAUCCCUCCGCUGGUUCACCAACGGAGA
rnacentral:misc_RNA from 1 species